rnacentral:rRNA from 1 species
AUUGAACGCUGGCGGCAGGCCUAACACAUGCAAGUCGAACGAGUGGCGGACGGGUGAGUAAUGUCUGGGAAACUGCCUGAUGGAGGGGGAUAACUACUGGAAACGGUAGCUAAUACCGCAUACCUUCAGCUGUCCCCAGAUGGGAUUAGCUUGUUGGGGGGGAAACGGCUCACCAAGGCGACGAUCCCUAGCUGGUCUGAGAGGAGGACCAGCCAAACUGGAACUGAGACACGGCCCAGACGCCUACGGGAGGCAGCAGUGGGGAAUAUUGCACAAUGGGCGCAAGCCUGAUGCAGCCAUGCCGCGUGUAUGAAGAAGGCCUUCGGGUUGUAAAGUACUUUCAGCGGGGAGGCGUUACCCGCAGAAGAAGCACCGGCUAACUCCGUGCCAGCAGCCGCGGUAAUUC